rnacentral:piRNA from 1 species
UUAAGGUGAAAGAUUUUGCUU